GCCAGUUUGGCUCAGUGGAUAGAGCGUUGGCCUGGGGACUGAAAGGUCCUGGGUUCGAUUCCCAGUCAGGGCA
rfam:Myotis brandtii contig222835, whole genome shotgun sequence.